GCCUGGGUGGCGGAAUGGCAGACGCUCAGCACUUAAAAUGCUGUGGCCGCAAGGCCGUGCGGGUUCGACUCCCGCCCCGGGCA
rnacentral:tRNA from 1 species